GAAUUUGAGGGUGACCUGGCUGUGACAAGCCACCCCACUGAUCAGUGUUUUUUUUUUUUUAGGUGAUCAUACUGGCUUGUUGGGUGUCCCCUUUAUCCUCCACAGUUCCAUGUCUGUUCAUCCUAAAGCAGUAUGCUCAGGCAAAAAAGGACACUUGAUAUGUGUGUUUCUUCCCUUUAUAGAACUUCCCACAUUGAUGUCUGUUUAGGUUCAUAUUAAGCAUUUAGCUUAUCUGA
rnacentral:sRNA from 1 species